CCUACGGGUGGCAGCAGUGGGGAAUAUUGCACAAUGGGCGAAAGCCUGAUGCAGCGACGCCGCGUGUGGGAUGAAGGUCUUCGGAUCGUAAACUACUGUCAGCAGGGAAGAAGGGUCACUGUGCUAAUCAGCAGUUAAUUGACGGUACCUGCAAAGGAAGCACCGGCUAACUCCGUGCCAGCAGCCGCGGUAAUACGGAGGGUGCGAGCGUUAAUCGGAAUUACUGGGCGUAAAGCGCGCGUAGGCGGUAUGUCAAGUCAAGGGUGAAAUCCCCGGGCUCAACGUGGGAACUGCAUUUGAAACUGGCAAACUGGAGUCUGGUAGAGGGUGGUGGAAUUCCAGGUGUAGCAGUGAAAUGCGUAGAGAUCUGGAGGAAUACCAGUGGCGAAGGCGACUAUCUGGCACAUAACUGACGCUGAGGAGCGAAAGCGUGGGGAGCAAACAGGAUUAGAUACCCCUGUAGUC
rnacentral:rRNA from 1 species